CAUAUCUCAGCGGCUAAAUGACUGUCUAUAGGGCAGCGAAAACACAUCCUUAUCAGUUUAAAGCAGUUGCUGCCUUACUCAGGGGGACAAAAAAUGAGAACAGGAGCCUUCUGAAGCUCAUCAAACAAGAGCUUCAAGAGUCAGAAUCGGAAUCUGUAGCUGAGAACAAUUCCACUAACACCUCACUAAUCUCAUAUGACUUUCCUCAAGACAUCAUCAAGUCAAAGCAAACUGGACAUCUACAGAGCUGGUGCAGUUUAUGAAAAUAACUACUACGUGGUAGAGGAGUGGCAAGGAGGAGGGAUGGAAAUUGUCCUAGCCAGAGAGGAGCCGCACAGACCCAGCUCAAGACAGAUGGACCAGUUGGCUGUGGAAAACUGUGCCUCUGAUCAUUGGGACAUAGGAUACCAUCAUAAACAUCUUCACAUGGGUCUACCAUGUGGCAGGUCUAAUGCUGGAGAGUAUAGGACGGCAUCAGAGCUUUUGAACUUGAUUUUUCUUCAUUUGAAUUUGUUUUAGUAAUCCUGCUCUUUAUUAGAAGUCCACAAAAGAACAGGAAAACAUUAAACUCUCUAG
rnacentral:lncRNA from 1 species